rnacentral:lncRNA from 1 species
AAGCAUUAUUAGGUGGAGUGGCAGUAUCUUUUUUACACUAAAAAGGUGAAAGAGAAAAAAUUUUUUGCUUGUUGGAUUGAACUUGCAUUUAAUGAGGGUUUUCCUUGCAAUUAAUGUGACAUUGGAGAGAGAAAACCUCUUAAAUGAAGUGAACCAUGAUUAUACCAACGUUGUAAACUUCAGUUUCCUCUUCCCUCCAAAACACUUCGUCUUUCCACAUUAUACAACAACCAUUGUACCAUCCUCCACCAAAGUUCAUUAAAGAGACAUAUGACUAUCUUCUUCCAUGGGUUGUUGAGGAGAGCAUUUAAGAAGGGUGGAGUUAAUCCUUCAUUGGAGGUUGUUGAAGAUAGCAUUGCCUACAUUUAAUGGUACAG